AGAGCAUUGAGAGGAUCAAGGACGCAUCUUUGGAGUACUAGUAAUUGUGCCCACGAUAAACACUGGAUAACUAAGUACGGAGCGAAUAACUGCUGAAGGUAUCUAAAUAGUAAGCUCACCCCAAGAUGAGUGCUCU
rnacentral:ncRNA from 1 species